rnacentral:rRNA from 1 species
UACAGAGGGGGGCAAGCGUUGUUCGGAAUUACUGGGCGUAAAGGGCGCGUAGGCGGGUUCUCCAGUCAGGGGUGAAAUCUUUCGGCUUAACCGGAAAAGUGCCCCUGAUACUGAGAGUCUCGAGGGAGGUAGGGGCAUGUGGAACUUCCGGUGGAGCGGUGAAAUGCGUGAGAUAUCGGAAGGAACGCCGGUGGCGAAAGCGACGUGCUGGACCUCUUCUGACGCUGGAGGCGCGGAAAGCCAGGGGAGCAA